UGGGGAAUAUUGCACAAUGGGCGCAAGCCUGAUGCAGCCAUGCCGCGUGUGUGAAGAAGGCCUUCGGGUUGUAAAGCACUUUCAGCGAGGAGGAAGGUGGUGAACUUAAUACGUUCAUCAAUUGACGUUACUCGCAGAAGAAGCACCGGCUAACUCCGUGCCAGCAGCCGCGGUAAUACGGAGGGUGCAAGCGUUAAUCGGAAUUACUGGGCGUAAAGCGCACGCAGGCGGUUUGUUAAGUCAGAUGUGAAAUCCCCGGGCUCAACCUGGGAACUGCAUUUGAAACUGGCAAGCUAGAGUCUCGUAGAGGGGGGUAGAAUUCCAGGUGUAGCGGUGAAAUGCGUAGAGAUCUGGAGGAAUACCGGUGGCGAAGGCGGCCCCCUGGANGAAGACUGACGCUCAGGUGCGAAAGCGUGGGGAGCAAACAGAUUAGAUACCCUGGUAGUCCACGCUGUAAACGAUGUCGAUUUUGGAGGUUGUGCCCCUGAGGCGUGGNUUCCGGAGCUAACGNGUUAAAUCGACCGCC
rnacentral:rRNA from 1 species